GGAGGCAGGGGUUGAGAUAAAGAUCACGUCGUGAUUUUGGCCCAUUUAUCCUAUUUCUUGCUGGGAUUGCUGCCUCCGCAUCGGAUCACUCGGCUACCAAACCGCUAUGCUAUAAAGGGCCCUCCUUUGGUAUCGAAUCGAGCCUAAAGGGUGGUCCGGUAGGAGAGGGAGGGUUCGUCUUGAACUUCUUGCCAGAAUGUACCUAAAUCAGUAGUGAUUUCGAUCUCUUAAGGUAGGUCGAUGUCUACGCAUAUAGGGCGUAUAGCAGCUUUGAUCUUAUCUCAGUAAUGUCAUCCAUUUUCAAUGGGUUCCCUAUGCCUCUUGCUAUUGCAAAGAGAAUUUCCGGCCUCCACAGCUCCGAAAGAAGAGGAAAUCGAACCGCUUUUAUUGCAGGAUCAUCCAGGUCUGGUUUGAAGCUCUGAUACCACCUUGACAGAUUGAUUGAGAAAGGCUCAAUCUUCCAAGAGGAACCAGAAAGAACAAGAGAGAGAGAGACCUUGCUCGGAUUUGAAACGGAAAAAAAGAUAGUGACUAUUGAGCAGGGCUACUGAGUGCUCCACCUUCCUGUAGAGCUUGGCAUUGGCCUUCAUCCAUUCUACUUAAGGUAGUUUUAUAAUGAACCUUCCUACUCAACAAAACUUCAAGUCUGCCAAGCUUUCCUGAUAUGGGGAUGAAGGGAUCCGAAUGUGCACCUCCUAAGGAUCCUUGAAUGGGACAGGGAACGAAUGCUGAGUAGAGGGAAAGGAGUAAGGAAUGAGAUGCGAUCCUAAUGCUUGCUUGGGCAAAGGAUUUGGCAGCUCCUGGCGUGGAGGGGGGAGGAUUGAGGUUUGAGAAUCCCAGGUCGGCUAGGCAGUAACUGCGGACCCUGUCGAUCUUUAUUAUCAGUCCGCCCAGUACAGUAGGGCAUAGAUAAAGAUCAAGGACGAAAUCUCAGUCCCACAGAGCGGGAUCCGCGGAUCCUUCUUGAGCCCCAAACCAUUUCCUCACUCUUUUGAGUGCACUUCCUUAGAGGAGUUGCAAUUGCAGGAGAAUUCUAAAUGUUCAGGUGGCACAACCAAAACUCCAACGUUCUUUACUUCCCCCCUCCUUCCCUGCUUAGACCUUGGCCACUUAUUGAUGGCCUAUACUCCCUAUCUUCUCUCUACUGACACAACACUUUCUAUGUUAUAUACUGUAAACUUUCAUUCGAAAUGACUACGGUUCUAACAUAACAGUAGACAUCUUCUUCUAUCUAUAUGAAAAUUAUUUUUCACUUUGACAUACGUAAUCUGGCACAUGCCCUAAACACGUAAGAAAUUCCCGUUCGUACGAUUUUAUGAACGCAAGAAAAAAAAUAACAUAAGUAUAAUCCACCAGCUUCUCUCUACCGCUAGGCACAGAACCCGAUAAGUUGACUACCGCCAAGCAAUAGGUUAGAAGGCAGAUCGACGACAAUCUCAUAGUUUACCAACAAUGGUUUUAUUUAAUGCAUCCUUUCACAAGUCAGUGGAAUCCUACCCUUCAUUGCUUGACGUUUCCUCAGCGGCAUUUCAAUGCUCGAAGAACCUUUUUUCAGCGGUAAUUCAUGCAUGACUUACUUAGACAAGACGAAGACAGCAAGGAUAAACGGAAGCUCUCUGCCUAUAAAUACCUCUCCUUACUUGUAGAUUGAUCUUAUCUCUUUCUACCUAAACUCACCCACCGCCCUUCAAGAGAGUAAUCGGUUACCUACUUUUGAGGAAACGAUCCGGGAGUCUUCUAAGUCUGGCGCAUCUGUCCCUUG
rnacentral:lncRNA from 1 species